CCUUUGACCUGCAGUACAAGGAUCCCUUUGUCUCACACACACCAUAUCUGCAGGGGACUGACUCUUCACAAUCAUCUGAACAAUAGGUGGAGAGGGUGAAGAGGAAGUGGAAGACAGACCAGGACAAGUGGGCCAGUCUGACCAUGCAUGCUGCUUGGUCCUGUGGGAGAACUGGGAAGCCUGCACUGUGAACUGACCACACUGCCCAGACCUCUGUCAGAGCUUUUCAUGUUCUGCCUUUUAAACAUUGAGGCAUCUCAAAUAAAACAACAAGUGAAUGAAAUAAACCUCUCUUUCAAACCA